rnacentral:rRNA from 1 species
AAUCAACGCUGGCGGCGUGCCUAACACAUGUAAGUCGCACGAGAAAGGGACUUCGGUCCUGAGUAAAGUGGCGCACGGGUGAGUAACACGUGAAUCAUCUACCUUCGAGUGGGGAAUAACUGGGAGAAAUCUCAGCUAAUACCGCAUAAUACCUACGGGUCAAAGCAGCAAUGCGCUUGAAGAGGAGUUCGCGGCAGAUUAGUUAGUUGGCGGGGUAAUGGCCCACCAAGACGAUGAUCUGUAUCCGGCCUGAGAGGGCGCACGGACACACUGGAACUGAAACACGGUCCAGACUCCUACGGGAGGCAGCAGUGGGGAAUUUUGCGCAAUGGGGGAAACCCUGACGCAGCAACGCCGCGUGGAGGAUGAAGUAUCUUGGUACGUAAACUCCUUUCGAUGGGGAAGAUAAUGACGGUACCCAUAGAAGAAGCCCCGGCUAACUUCGUGCCAGCAGCCGCGGUAAUACGAGGGGGGCAAGCGUUGUUCGGAAUUAUUGGGCGUAAAGGGUGCGUAGGCGGUUUGAUAAGUCUGAUGUGAAAUCUCUGGGCUCAACCCAGAGUCUGCAUUAGAAACUGUCGGGCUUGAGUAUGGGAGAGGUGAGUGGAAUUUCCGGUGUAGCGGUGAAAUGCGUAGAUAUCGGAAGGAACACCUGUGGCGAAAGCGGCUCACUGGACCAUAACUGACGCUGAGGCACGAAAGCUAGGGGAGCAAACAGGAUUAGAUACCCUGGUAGUCCUAGCCCUAAACGAUGAUUGCUUGAUGUGGCAGGUACCCAAUCCUGCCGUGUCGAAGCUAACGCGAUAAGCAAUCCGCCUGGGGAGUACGGUCGCAAGGCUG